UAGUUCCUCAAGACAGAGUGGGUCUC
rnacentral:piRNA from 1 species